AACGCGUAGAUAGCUGCCUAGUAGUGGGGGAUAGCCAGUGGAAACGCUGAUUAAUACCGCAUACGCUCUACGGGGGAAAGGGGGCUUCGGCUCUCGCUAUUAGAUGUGUCUGCGUGGGAUUAGCUAGUUGGUGAGGUAAUGGCUCACCAAGGCGACGAUCUCUAGCUGGUCUGAGAGGAUGAUCAGCCACACUGGAACUGAGACACGGUCCAG
rnacentral:rRNA from 1 species